rnacentral:rRNA from 1 species
GGGGGAAGUAGGAGUCUGGCGGAGCACGCCGCGUGAGUGAGAAGUCUUCGGACUGUAAGCUCUGUUCGCCGGAGGAAGAACGUGCAGAAGAGGAAAUGCUUUUGCAGUGACGGUAUCCGGCCAGAAAGCCACGGCUAACUACGUGCCAGCAGCCGCGGUAAUACGGGAGCCAGCAGCCGC